rnacentral:rRNA from 1 species
AUUGAACGCUGGCGGCAGGCCUAACACAUGCAAGUCGAGCGGAUGAAGGGAGCUUGCUCCUGGAUUCAGCGGCGGACGGGUGAGUAAUGCCUAGGAAUCUGCCUGGUAGUGGGGGAUAACGUCCGGAAACGGGCGCUAAUACCGCAUACGUCCUGAGGGAGAAAGUGGGGGAUCUUCGGACAUCACGCUAUCAGAUGAGCCUAGGUCGGAUUAGCUAGUUGGUGGGGUAAAGGCCUACCAAGGCGACGAUCCGUAACUGGUCUGAGAGGAUGAUCAGUCACACUGGAACUGAGACACGGUCCAGACUCCUACGGGAGGCAGCAGUGGGGAAUAUUGGACAAUGGGCGAAAGCCUGAUCCAGCCAUGCCGCGUGUGUGAAGAAGGUCUUCGGAUUGUAAAGCACUUUAAGUUGGGAGGAAGGGCAGUAAGCUAAUACCUUGCUGUUUUGACGUUACCAACAGAAUAAGCACCGGCUAACUUCGUG